rnacentral:rRNA from 1 species
ACGCUGGCGGCGUGCCUAAUACAUGCAAGUAGAACGUUGAAGGAGGAGCUUGCUUCUCUGGAUGAGUUGCGAACGGGUGAGUAACGCGUAGGUAACCUGCCUGGUAGCGGGGGAUAAUUAUUGGAAACGAUAGCUAAUACCGCAUAACAGUAGAUGUUGCAUGACAUUUGCUUAAAAGGUGCAAUUGCAUCACUACCAGAUGGACCUGCGUUGUAUUAGCUAGUUGGUGGGGUAACGGCUCACCAAGGCGACGAUACAUAGCCGACCUGAGAGGGUGAUCGGCCACACUGGGACUGAGACACGGCCCAGACUCCUUCGGGAGGCAGCAGUAGGGAAUCUUCGGCAAUGGACGGAAGUCUGGCCGAGCAACGCCGCGUGAGUGAAGAAGGUUUUCGGAUCGUAAAGCUCUGUUGUAAGAGAAGAACGGGUGUGAGAGUGGAAAGUUCACACUGUGACGGUAUCUUACCAGAAAGGGACGGCUAACUACGUGCCAGCAGCCGCGGUAAUACGUAGGUCCCGAGCGUUGUCCGGAUUUAUUGGGCGUAAAGCGAGCGCAGGCGGUUAGAUAAGUCUGAAGUUAAAGGCUGUGGCUUAACCAUAGUACGCUUUGGAAACUGUUUAACUUGAGUGCAAGAGGGGAGAGUGGAAUUCCAUGUGUAGCGGUGAAAUGCGUAGAUAUAUGGAGGAACACCGGUGGCGAAAGCGGCUCUCUGGCUUGUAACUGACGCUGAGGCUCGAAAGCGUGGGGAGCAAACAGGAUUAGAUACCCUGGUAGUCCACGCCGUAAACGAUGAGUGCUAGGUGUUAGACCCUUUCCGGGGUUUAGUGCCGCAGCUAACGCAUUAAGCACUCCGCCUGGGGAGUACGACCGCAAGGUUGAAACUCAAAGGAAUUGACGGGGGCCCGC